rnacentral:rRNA from 1 species
CCUACGGGUGGCAGCAGUGGGGAAUAUUGGACAAUGGGGGCAACCCUGAUCCAGCCAUGCCGCGUGUGUGAAGAAGGCCCUCGGGUUGUAAAGCACUUUCAGUGAGGAAGAACGCUUGGUGGUUAAUACCCAUCAGGAAAGACAUCACUCACAGAAGAAGCACCGGCUAACUCCGUGCCAGCAGCCGCGGUAAUACGGAGGGUGCGAGCGUUAAUCGGAAUUACUGGGCGUAAAGCGCGCGUAGGUGGCUUGAUAAGCCGGUUGUGAAAGCCCCGGGCUCAACCUGGGAACGGCAUCCGGAACUGUCAAGCUAGAGUGCAGGAGAGGAAGGUAGAAUUCCCGGUGUAGCGGUGAAAUGCGAAGAGAUCGGGAGGAAUACCAGUGGCGAAGGCGGCCUUCUGGACUGACACUGACACUGAGGUGCGAAAGCGUGGGUAGCAAACAGGAUUAGAUACCCUUGUAGUC